rnacentral:rRNA from 1 species
UACGUAGGGGGCGAGCGUUGUCCGGAUUUAUUGGGCGUAAAGAGCUCGUAGGCGGUUUGGUAAGUUGGAUGUGAAAUCUCCAGGCUCAACCCUGGAAGCGCAUUGGAUACUACGGAGCUUGAGUCCUGAAGAGGAGAGCGGAAUUCCCGGUGUAGAGGUGAAAUUCGUAGAUAUCGGGAGGAACACCAGUGGCGAAGGCGGCUCUCUGGACAGGUACUGACGCUGAGACGCGAAAGCGUGGGUAGCAAACAGG